AGGAUAAUAGUUAAAAUUUAUAACAUUUAAUUUGCUUUUAAAAAUUAUUAAUUAAUUUAUCUUA
rnacentral:tRNA from 1 species